rnacentral:lncRNA from 1 species
CUCCUCCGCAAGCUGUCAACAAAGGAGAAGCAGAAGAUGAACCUUGCUCUGAAUUGAAUCUCAAACUUCCAGCCCUGAUAGGGAUCCUGGGCAUCUGGUAAGUCCCGACUUGCAUGGGGGCAUUGGGGACGGGAGAAGAGCUUUCUAUAUCCAAUUCAGAGAAUCUUUCUGGCAGGGUAAUCAGAGGGGUGGCAAUAAGAUAACUUAUUUUAAUAACCUAAGGUGAGAGGUUUCGGGAUUCUGGAUGACAAUGUCUCGGUGCCCUCAAGGCCACUGAUUCCUCGCCACACAGUCUCAGUAACUCCGCAGCCUCUAGACACGGCUUUCCGGAAGCGGCCUGCAAGCUGGACCCCAGCGAGUUCGCAGGAUCUGCGUAGUCCCUGCUCGCGAUUAGAGCGCACACGAGUUUACUCCUGUCCAAGUAUUCUGAUAAGCUUCCUCUACUGCCCUCUCGUGGCCACAGUCCUCAGUGGUAUAAAUCUAAAAAACAACAAAAAUCACUGCGAAUACCUAAAAGCAAUUGCACCAAAUUCUUAGAGCAGUAGCGGCAGAAGAAACGAAGGGAGGGAAGGAUGAAGAAAGGGAGCCGGAGAAAAGAGAGAGAGAGAGGAAGAAGAAAAGGAAAUCUAGACUAACCAGUCAUCUCGAACAAUCGCACAUUCAACACAGGACUGGGGGAUCUAGGCUUUACUCCAACAUCUGCAGAAAUCAGCGAAUUCUUCAAAAGUUCUUCAUUGUAAUUAGCUGAAAUUUGUGUUCCUGUAACUUUCACUGGCUACUGCUAGUUUUGUCCUGUGGGACCACAAAGAAUCUGUCUAAGCUGUGUUGCCUGAUCCAUACCUGUUCUUUCCUUCAAACUUCUUUAGCAUUCAUUGUUGGUAACACACCAAUAAAUUAUCAUAUUUACCCUGU